rnacentral:snRNA from 12 species
AAAGAAGGAAGGAAGGGAGAGAGAGAAACUAACUUGGCUUAUCCAUUGCACUCCGGAUGUGCUGACCCCCUGCGAUUUCCCCAAAUGUAGGAAACUAGACUGCGUAAUUUGUGGUAGUGGGGCACUGCAUUUGCUCUCUCCCCUG